UACGUAGGGUGCGAGCGUUGUCCGGAAUUAUUGGGCGUAAAGAGCUCGUAGGCGGCCUGUUGCGUCCGCUGUGAAAUCCCAGGGCUCAACCCUGGGCGUGCAGUGGAUACGGGCAGGCUGGAGGCAGGCAGGGGAGAACGGAAUUCCCGGUGUAGCGGUGAAAUGCGCAGAUAUCGGGAGGAACACCAAUGGCGAAGGCAGCUCGCUGGAACGGUACUGACUCUGAGGCGCGAAAGCGUGGGGAGCGAACAGG
rnacentral:rRNA from 1 species